rnacentral:snoRNA from 1 species
UUGACCAGCAGCUGAAGUGAAGCUGAGCUGAAGAUGAAGUUCGUCUUCGUCUUUGCCCAGUCGUCUAGUUAGUUGCAUCUCCGGCGAUGUGCGUUCGUGCAUGAACUAGUCGAGUCAAUCAGCAGGAGGAAGA